rnacentral:sRNA from 1 species
GCGGAGGAAAAGAAACCAACAGGGAUUGCCCUAGUAACGGCGAGUGAAGCGGCAACAGCUCAAAUUUGAAAUCUGGCCUCCUUUGGGGGUCCGAGUUGUAAUUUGCAGAGGGUGCUUUGGCGUCGGCAGCGGUCUAAGUUCCUUGGAACAGGACAUCACAGAGGGUGAGAAUCCCGUACGUGGUCGCCUGCCUUCGCCGUGUAAAGCCCCUUCGACGAGUCGAGUUGUUUGGGAAUGCAGCUCUAAAUGGGAGGUAAAUUUCUUCUAAAGCUAAAUACCGGCCAGAGACCGAUAGCGCACAAGUAGAGUGAUCGAAAGAUGAAAAGCACUUUGGAAAGAGAGUCAAACAGCACGUGAAAUUGUUGAAAGGGAAGCGCUUGCAGCCAGACUUGCUCGUAGUUGCUCAUCCGGGUCCGCCCGGAGCACUCUUCUGCGAGCAGGCCAGCAUCAGUUUGGGCGACCGGAUAAAGGCCUCUGUCAUGUAUCUUCCUUCGGGAUGACCUUAUAGGGGAGGCGUAAUGCGGCCAGCCCGGACUGAGGUCCGCGCUUCUGCUAGGAUGCUGGCGUAAUGGCUGUAAGCGGCCCGUCUUGAAACACGGACCAAGGAGUCUAACAUCUAUGCGAGUGUUUGGGUGUCAAGCCCGGGCGCGUAAUGAAAGUGAACGGAGGUGGGAACCCCUCGGGGUGCACCAUCGACCGAUCCUGAUGUCUUCGGAUGGAUUUGAGUAAGAGCAUAGCUGUUGGGACCCGAAAGAUGGUGAACUAUGCUUGAAUAGGGUGAAGCCAGAGGAAACUCUGGUGGAGGCUCGCAGCGGUUCUGACGUGCAAAUCGAUCGUCAAAUUUGGGCAUA